UACGUAGGUGACGAGCGUUAUCCGGAUUUAUUGGGUUUAAAGGGUGCGUAGGCGGCCUAGUAAGUCGGCGGUGAAAGCCCGGGGCUCAACCCCGGAACUGCCAUCGAUACUGUUAGGCUUGAGUACAGGCGAGGUUGGCGGAAUGGGCGGUGUAGCGGUGAAAUGCAUAGAUACCGUCCAGAACCCCGAUUGCGAAGGCAGCUGACUAGGCUGUAACUGACGCUGAGGCACGAAAGCGUGGGGAGCGAACAGG
rnacentral:rRNA from 1 species